rnacentral:rRNA from 1 species
GUAAAGCCCUUUUGUUGGGAAAGAAAAGCAUCCGGUUAAUACCCGGGUGUUCUGACGGUACCCAAAGAAUAAGCACCGGCUAACUUCGUGCCAGCAGCCGCGGUAAUACGAAGGGUGCAAGCGUUACUCGGAAUUACUGGGCGUAAAGCGUGCGUAGGUGGUGAUUUAAGUCCGUUGUGAAAGCCCUGGGCUCAACCUGGGAAUUGCAGUGGAUACUGGGUCACUAGAGUGUGGUAGAGGAUAGUGGAAUUUCCGGUGUAGCAGUGAAAUGCGUAGAGAUCGGAAGGAACAUCUGUGGCGAAGGCGACUAUCUGGGCCAACACUGACACUGAGGCACGAAAGCGUGGGGAGCAAA